GUAACGACUCUCUUCACAUUGCAAAGAGUCUGCAAAAGAAGUCAAGAAAAUGCAUGAUGAUUGCCAUAAUAUUGAUCCUGCUCAUUGCCAUCUUUAUAGUACUCGCUGUUUUGAAACCAUGGAAGAAGUAAUCAGAAGAGAAAAGUAACUUCCACACAAAAGAACUCUCAUUAUUUCAUAUUCAUGUUGUUUUUCAAGUGCAAGAAAACUCACACUUGACACAGUAGUAUAACAUUGUUUAUGGUAUCUCUCUUUAUCGAAUUGGCUUGCUGUGCAUAUUUGCACUGUUAAUGCAUAGUAAGAUGUCAACUUUUAUAUACUCUGAACAUCAAAGGAAAAAAAUGCACAUGCACAUUUGCAAUUGAUGGCUAUGAUAUACUUGUGAACAUUGAUGACUUUGUUGCAGGAGAAUAAUGCUACUCAUACUUCACUUUGUUUAACCAACUAUCAAGCUUGUUUAACCAAUGAUCUACAUAUAGUUAACCACUAAACUAAAAGUGAUUUGAUAGGAAUCACCAUUAACUAGUAGUUAGGUGGUUUAGCAUAUGUAGGUUAUAUUACUUGAAUAGGUUUAGAUUGAAAGUUAAUCAAAGUGAUGUAUAUGGAAGUGCAUAGAAGUGUCACUAUUCUUCUUUCCUUGUAUGUAAAUGAUUGAUAUAUUUACAGGAGAAAUAAGGCAAAGUAAUGUGUUCAGAAGUUGAGUUACAGAUCUCAAUAACACAAAAUGGGUAAGAAAGAUGAGAAAAAACUUUGAAAUAGUAAAUAUAUUACAAAUGGAGGAACAACUUAUAAGUUGAAGAAAGAAAUCUUAUGGCUAUCAUUUUCUGUUAAAAACAUCUGUGAUCAUUGGAGGAGCGAGCUUCUUUGAGGCACAUGAGGUAGCUCCCCCCACUAUUGCUCUAACCUUAUCAGUUCUAUAAUCCCUUUGUCAAUUGAGGUAACAGAUGUCAAAGAUAGAAUAGUCUUUGAUACAAUCGUCCUCAUUGAUAGCUAGCUUAUAAAGGGAGGGCUUGCCAAGUUCUUAGAUGCUUAGUGGCUCGAAAAGGGAUACCUAUGGAGGGGCUAAUAGGAUAAGGCCAAGUAAGGCACCAUAGAGUAUCAGCCACCGGGACAUCGGCUCUAGGGGUGGUGCUAUGAUAGAAACUUAGGCAUUUCGGGAUGCCCAAGUAUCUCAUCGAGUAGUUAGGGAUGCCAAAGCAAGUCUGCCUCUAAUACAAACACGUAUGGUUAUAUAUGCUCACUUGCUCAUUUUAGAGGCAUGUUCACUUUAGAAGUAUUAUCCCUUGUCACAUACCAAAUUUUGAUUUUAUCAAAGCAAGGAAAUGAUAUGCUCUUUUACCUCUCAAAUCUGAACAUUGUUUCAGUAUCUCGACAAGGGGUGGCAAAUAUGUGUUUAAGCCCGUCCUACAAAAGCCCGGAAAAAAAAAGGCGCGGGACAAGUAUAGUUGAGGGUGUGGACCUAAAUUCUUGGCCCACCCUCCGAAAAAAUGAGGGUGGUAGGGGCUGGCAUGCGGGUUUUGCACUCCUAAAGGCUAAAAAUUGCAAAAAAUCUUGUUAAUGCCCACGCCCGCAAAAAACUGAAUGGGGCAGGACGGACAUAUUAGAUGGGCCGGACUUUAAAUCUUGGUCCGCUUUGCGAAAAAAUGUAGACAAAACGGGCACGCCCGGCGGACCGGGCUCGUUUUUCCAUCCCUAAUCUCAGCAUUGAACAAUCUUUUCUGUUAUUAACUUACUCAUCAACAACUCGCCAUUCCCUCAAAAUAUUUAGUCAAUUUCUGCCACUGUCCUGCACCAUCAUCAUACAAUAUCUUAUUUAUCCUCCAUAGUUCUUAGAAUGCUGAGACUUUUGAUGGCCAUACCACCUAUUAGUGGAACACAUUCUAUUCUACCAUUCUAGACCUCAUGAAAAACAGGGAAAUAACAUUAAAGUUCUGAAGGUAUGUCUAGCAUGAAGAAAGAAGAAAAGGGGGAAAGGAGUUUCACCAUUUACAAUACUCUCACUUAUCCUUCAGCAUCCAUAUAGGGCUUAAUGGGCAAUGAAAUCAUUGAAUACUCUUCAGUUUGGUAUUUUGGUUGCUAAAUAGAAUAGCAAAAAUAUCAACAAACUCAUAGUGAUUCCGAACAUUACUUUAACUAAAACCAUCUAAAAUAAUUUGUUAAAUAAAUAAUAGCAAUAUGAACUAUAACUUUUCAAUAAGGCACAUCUAGAAGCAAAUCUAUUCACCUUUCAGAAUUUCAUACCUUUUCUUGAUAGAUGACUCCAACAUUCCACGGUAGUAGAUGUUGACAAAUUUCUUGCUAUCAAAACUAAAGUCAAUUCAUGGAAGUACAUAUAGCAACUUGAACAAUUCUAAUCAUUCAAAUCAAGGGAGUUACAGUUAUAUACAUCCACACUUUAGUUCUAUCAUAAUCCAAUUGUAAAAGCAUAAAAAUCCAGAUCCAAAACUUCUCAUGAUAACAAACACAGGGGCGUUAAGAAUGUAAUAUUCAGCCCCUGAAGAAGAUUGAAUGCUAGCAGCAAUACAGCACAACAAGAAAAACCUCAAACAUCUAACAGCAAUACUAGAUUUAAAAUUGCAUAGCUCAAACUUCCAUUUGCUUGAGAGAAACACGACUUUGUUAAAAAAAAGGUUAUGGUUCAUUGUUAAUAAAAAAUAAAAAGCUUGCUCCAAAAUGAACAUUUGUUUAAAAGUAAAAAAUGUAACUCUAAGUAUAGUUGAAAAUUUCACAUUAUUUUCCCCCACAAACCUACUUUAACAAUAGUAAUUUUUCAAUUGUCUGCAAAUGCUAACUCAACUGAUAAAUCUCGUCAACCAUAAACCAUAAACCAGCUCAAUCGAAACAAACACUUAAAACAAUCAAUUUUCAAAAUCAAGAUUAUAUAAAAUCAAAUUUGCAACCACUCACUCAAACAAACAAGCAAUAAAAAGUAAAAACCCUAGUUUUAAAGUUCUACACUGCACUUAUAAGCUAUUGAAACUGUUUUCCUUUUCGGAUUUGAGAAUUCUUAAUUAUUUCAAUAAACAAUCAAAUUUAUUGCAUUAUACAUAAAAUCCCAAUGUAAAUUAAUCUUAGAGAUAAAAACUUCCAAAUAUAAAUCACUUCAUUUAAAUAUUAUUUCAAGAAAAUCAAUUAUAUAUAUAUAAUAAUUAUAUAAUAUAUAUAUUAUAAUAUAUAUAUAUAUAUAUAGAUAGAUAUAUAUAUAUAUAUAUGAUCAUCCAAAAUCAAAUUUACAAACCCUCAACCAAAAACACAAAAUUGAAAAAUCCAUGAUUCAUGAUCUCCACAUAGCUUUUGAGCUUUUAAUACUUUUAUUUUUAUUGAAGAACAAAAAAAAUCAAAAUCCAUAAGACAAAAAGAUAAGAAAAAGGACAAAAGCAUAGUAGUAAGAUCUGGAAUAUUUGAAAAUCAAAAUCUGAAAGUAAUACUAGCAACAAGAAUAAUGAAUAAAUAAUAAGAAAGAAGAGUUUGUUUUGAAGAUUUAGAAGCAGGUAGAAAAUAAGAAAAAAAAAAGCAUACCUUGAAUUGAAGAUGUUAGAAUUUGUUGUUAAUGAAUGGUUAGAAGAGAAGAGGUUAGAUCUUUGAUGGCGAAUUGCAUGUGUUCUUGUUAUCUGGUUAGAUCUAUUUGCGGUGAGUGGUGAAUUGUGAUUUGUGUGUUUAAGAGAGAGAAAGAUGUAGUCAAAGAGAAAAAGAUGGGAGAGGAUUGAAUAUUCACCAAUAAAACUAGUGUUUUAGAAAGAG
rnacentral:lncRNA from 1 species